rnacentral:snRNA from 1 species
GUUCUUACCUGGCAGGGGAGACACCAUGAUCAGGCAGGUGGUUUUCCCAGGGCGAGGCUCAUCUCCUGCACUCCAAGUGUGCUGACCCCUGCAAUUUCCCUGAAACUCGACUGCAUAAUUUGUGGUAGUGAGGGACUUUGCACUCUUC